rnacentral:rRNA from 1 species
UGGGGAAUUUUGGACAAUGGGGGAAACCCUGAUCCAGCCAUCCCGCGUGUGCGUUGAAGGCCUUUGGGUUUUAAAGCACUUUUGGCAGGAAAGAAACGUCAUGGGUUAAUACCCCGUGAUACUGACGGUAUCUGCAGAAUAAGCACCGGCUAACUACGUGUCAGCAGCCGCGGUAAUACGUAGGGUGCAAGCGUUAAUCGGAAUUACUGGGCUUAAAGCGUGCGCAGGCGGUUCGGAAAGAAAGAUGUGAAAUCCCAGAGCUCAACUUUGGAACUGCAUUGUUAACUACGGGGCUAGAGUGUGUCAGAGGGAGGUGGAAUUCCGCGUGUAGCAGUGAAAUGCGUAGAUAUGCGGAGGAACACCGAUGGCGAAGGCAGCCUCCUGGGAUAACACUGACGCUCAUGCACGAAAGAGUGGGGAGCAAACAGG